AACUCGUGCAUCAAACAUUUCAGAAUUAAGUCUUUAAAUCGUUCCCAAGCUUCAUAUAGUUUUUCAUCCUCUAAUUGCCGAAAAGAUGUGAUGUCAUUUCUAAGCUU
rfam:Gossypium arboreum cultivar AKA8401 contig_24788_3, whole genome shotgun sequence.